rnacentral:rRNA from 1 species
GAUGAACGCUGGCGGCGUGCCUAAUACAUGCAAGUCGAGCGAACAGACGAGGAGCUUGCUCCUCUGACGUUAGCGGCGGACGGGUGAGUAACACGUGGAUAACCUACCUAUAAGACUGGGAUAACUUCGGGAAACCGGAGCUAAUACCGGAUAAUAUAUUGAACCGCAUGGUUCAAUAGUGAAAGACGGUUUUGCUGUCACUUAUAGAUGGAUCCGCGCCGCAUUAGCUAGUUGGUAAGGUAACGGCCUACCAAGGCGACGAGGCGUAGCCGACCUGAGAGGGGGAUCGGCCACACGGGAGCUGAAACGCGGUCCAGGCGCCUACGGGAGGGAGCAGUAGGGAAUCUUCCGCAAUGGGGGAGAGCCUGACGGAGCAGCGCCGCGUGAGUGAUGAAGGUCUUCGGAUCGGAAAACUCUGUUAUUAGGGAAGAACAAAUGUGUAAGUAACUAUGCACGGCUUGACGGUACCUGAUCAGAAAGCCACGGCUAACUACGUG